AUUGAACGCUGGCGGCAGGCCUAACACAUGCGAGUCGAGCGGAUGAAGGGAGCUUGCUCCCGGAUUCAGCGGCGGACGGGUGAGUAAUGCCUAGGAAUCUGCCUGGUAGUGGGGGAUAACGUCCGGAAACGGGCGCUAAUACCGCAUACGUCCUGAGGGAGAAAGUGGGGGAUCUUCGGACCUCACGCUAUCAGAUGAGCCUAGGUCGGAUUAGCUAGUUGGUGGGGUGAAGGCCUACCAAGGCGACGAUCCGUAACUGGUCUGAGAGGAUGAUCAGUCACACUGGAACUGAGACACGGUCCAGACUCCUACGGGAGGCAGCAGUGGGGAAUAUUGGACAAUGGGCGAAAGCCUGAUCCAGCCAUGCCGCGUGUGUGAAGAAGGUCUUCGGAUUGUAAAGCACUUUAAGUUGGGAGGAAGGGCAGUAAGUUAAUACCUUGCUGUUUUGACGUUACCAACAGAAUAAGCACCGGCUAACUUCGUG
rnacentral:rRNA from 1 species